GACGAACGCUGGCGGCGUGCUUAACACAUGCAAGUCGAGCGGAAAGGCCCUGCUUUUGUGGGGUGCUCGAGUGGCGAACGGGUGAGUAACACGUGAGUAACCUGCCCUUGACUUUGGGAUAACUUCAGGAAACUGGGGCUAAUACCGGAUAGGAGCUCCUGCUGCAUGGUGGGGGUUGGAAAGUUUCGGCGGUUGGGGAUGGACUCGCGGCUUAUCAGCUUGUUGGUGGGGUAGUGGCUUACCAAGGCUUUGACGGGUAGCCGGCCUGAGAGGGUGACCGGCCACACUGGGACUGAGAUACGGCCCAGACUCCUACGGGAGGCAGCAGUGGGGAAUAUUGCACAAUGGGCGGAAGCCUGAUGCAGCAACGCCGCGUGCGGGAUGACGGCCUUCGGGUUGUAAACCGCUUUCGCCUGUGACGAAGCGUGAGUGACGGUAAUGGGUAAAGAAGCACCGGCUAACUACGUG
rnacentral:rRNA from 1 species